GUGCCAGCAGCCGCGGUAAUACAGAGGGUGCAAGCGUUAAUCGGAAUUACUGGGCGUAAAGCGCGCGUAGGUGGUUCGUUAAGUUGGAUGUGAAAUCCCCGGGCUCAACCUGGGAACUGCAUUGAAAACUGGCGAGCUAGAGUGUGGUAGAGGGUGGUGGAAUUUCCUGUGUAGCGGUGAAAUGCGUAGAUAUAGGAAGGAACACCAGUGGCGAAGGCGACCACCUGGACUGAUACUGACACUGAGGUGCGAAAGCGUGGGGAGCAAACAGGAUUAGAUACCCCAGUAGUCC
rnacentral:rRNA from 1 species